rnacentral:rRNA from 1 species
UACGGGGGGGGCAAGCGUUGUUCGGAAUUACUGGGCGUAAAGGGCUCGUAGGCGGCCAACUAAGUCGGAUGUGAAAUCCCCAGGCUUAACCUGGGAACUGCAUCCGAUACUGGAUGGCUUGAAUCCGGGAGAGGGAUGCAGAAUUCCAGGUGUAGCGGUGAAAUGCGUAGAUAUCGUAAGGAAGACCAGUGGCGAAGGCGGGUCUCUGGACAGUUCCUGACGCUGAGGCACGAAGGUCAGGGGAGCAA